UACGGAGGAUGCAAGCGUUAUCCGGAAUGAUUGGGCGUAAAGCGUCCGCAGGUGGUUUUACAAGUCUGCUGUCAAAGCGCGAGGCUCAACCUUGUAUAGGCAGUGGAAACUGUAAGACUAGAGUUCGGUAGGGGUAGAGGGAAUUCCCGGUGUAGCAGUGAAAUGCGUAGAGAUCAAGAGGAACACUCGUGGCGAAAGCGCUCUGCUAGGACUGUACUGACGCUGAGGGACGAAAGCUAGGGGAGCGAAUGGG
rnacentral:rRNA from 1 species